GGGUCAAUGAUGAGAACUCAUAUGCUGUUGAAGAGAGAUGAUGACCUAAAAACCAUGUCCAAUAGGAUUACCCUGAGGCCC
ensembl:snoRNA SNORD115 Small nucleolar RNA SNORD115